rnacentral:rRNA from 1 species
GAUGUGAAAGCCCCCGGCUCAACCGGGGAGGGUCAUUGGAAACUGGGGAACUUGAGUGCAGAAGAGGAGAGUGGAAUUCCACGUGUAGCGGUGAAAUGCGUAGAGAUGUGGAGGAACACCAGUGGCGAAGGCGACUCUCUGGUCUGUAACUGACGCUGAGGAGCGAAAGCGUGGGGAGCGAACAGGAUUAGAUACCCUGGUAGUCCACGCCGUAAACGAUGAGUGCUAAGUGUUAGGGGGUUUCCGCCCCUUAGUGCUGCAGCUAACGCAUUAAGCACUCCGCCUGGGGAGUACGGUCGCAAGACUGAAACUCAAAGGAAUUGACGGGGGCCCGCACAAGCGGUGGAGCAUGUGGUUUAAUUCGAAGCAACGCGAAGAACCUUACCAGGUCUUGACAUCCUCUGACAAUCCUAGAGAUAGGACGUCCCCUUCGGGGGCAGAGUGACAGGUGGUGCAUGGUUGUCGUCAGCUCGUGUCGUGAGAUGUUGGGUUAAGUCCCGCAACGAGCGCAACCCUUGAUCUUAGUUGCCAGCAUUCAGUUGGGCACUCUAAGGUGACUGCCGGUGACAAACCGGAGGAAGGUGGGGAUGACGUCAAAUCAUCAUGCCCCUUAUGACCUGGGCUACACACGUGCUACAAUGGACAGAACAAAGGGCAGCGAAACCGCGAGGUUAAGCCAAUCCCACAAAUCUGUUCUCAGUUCGGAUCGCAGUCUGCAACUCGACUGCGUGAAGCUGGAAUCGCUA